UACGAAGGGGGCUGGCGUUGCUCGGAAUCACUGGGCGUAAAGCGCACGUAGGCGGAUUUCUAAGUCAGGGGUGAAAUCCUGGAGCUCAACUCCAGAACUGCCUUUGAUACUGGGAAUCUCGAGUCCGGGAGAGGUGAGUGGAACUGCGAGUGUAGAGGUGAAAUUCGUAGAUAUUCGCAAGAACACCAGUGGCGAAGGCGGCUCACUGGCCCGGUACUGACGCUGAGGUGCGAAAGCGUGGGGAGCAAACAGG
rnacentral:rRNA from 1 species